rnacentral:tRNA from 1 species
UCCCUGGUGGCUUAGAUGAUGAAGAAUCUGCCUAGAAUGCAGCAGACCUGGGUUCAACCCUGAGUCAGGGAA